rnacentral:rRNA from 1 species
UACAGAGGUCUCAAGCGUUGUUCGGAUUCAUUGGGCGUAAAGGGUGCGUAGGUGGCGCCGUAAGUCGGGUGUGAAAUCCUGAGGCUUAACCUCGGAACUGCAUUCGAUACUGCGGUGCUUGAGGACUGGAGAGGAGACUGGAAUUCAUGGUGUAGCAGUGAAAUGCGUAGAGAUCAUGAGGAAGACCAGUGGCGAAGGCGGGUCUCUGGACAGUUCCUGACACUGAGGCACGAAGGCCAGGGGAGCAAACGGG